AGCGAACGCUGGCGGCAGGCUUAACACAUGCAAGUCGAGCGGGCCCUUCGGGGUCAGCGGCAGAUGGGUGAGUAACACGUGGGAACGUACCCUUUGGUUCGGAAUAACGCUGGGAAACUAGCGCUAAUACCGGAUACGCCCUUUUGGGGAAAGGCUUGCUGCCGAAGGAUCGGCCCGCGUCUGAUUAGCUAGUUGGUGGGGUAAUGGCCUACCAAGGCGACGAUCAGUAGCUGGUCUGAGAGGAUGAUCAGCCACACUGGGACUGAGACACGGCCCAGACUCCUACGGGAGGCAGCAGUGGGGAAUAUUGGACAAUGGGCGCAAGCCUGAUCCAGCCAUGCCGCGUGAGUGAUGAAGGCCUUAGGGUUGUAAAGCUCUUUUGUCCGGGACGAUAAUGACGGUACCGGAAGAAUAAGCCCCGGCUAACUUCGUG
rnacentral:rRNA from 1 species